UGGAGGGAAGGCAAACCCGCGCUCUGUUAGCUAAAUUUCCAUGUCAUCGGGUGUAGUUCGUAAAGGUUGAAGUGUGUAUGUUAGGAUGGUAACGUUAUUAUAAUUAAGGAUGAAGUGUGAAUUCAUGCCAGGAAUAAUAAGGGCACUGCAGAGUCUAAGAAGACGCAUGGAAACUAAAAGAAACAUAAUUCAACUUGUAGGCUAGAUUUGAAAAGGAAAUAAUAAAUCCCGAAGCUCAGAUGUCAGACACUGAGGCUGCCAGUACCUCUGGGUCGAUAGUCCAUGUGUUGGAUGAUGCACUGCCGUUGAUCAGAACAGACCGUGUAUAUUACAGUUGACCAAAGCUAUACUUGGAUACAAGACUGAUGACUCAAUAACCAGUAUUGACAACAGUGAAGAUGGUUAUGUCCCAGGGCCAUCAGGAUCAUCAGUGGAAGGCAAUUUCUAUGAAGAAAAUCUGACCGGAGAGAUGUCAGCGAUUCGGGCCAAACAGCCAAUAACCAAGGGAAAGGUGGGACAAAAGAGGCUCACACGUUAAGCAUGUUUCCUGCUUCCUUCAGUCAGUGCAUUUUCACUUUGUAGUCAAAUCAAAUGUUAUUGGUCACAUACACAUGGUUAGCAGAUGUUUAUGCGAGUGUGGCAAAAUGCUUGUGCUUCUAGUUCCGACCGUGCAGUAAUAUCUAACAAGUAAUCUAACAA